rnacentral:rRNA from 1 species
UACGUAGGGGGCGAGCGUUGUCCGGAUUUACUGGGCGUAAAGCGCACGCAGGCGGUCCGGUCAGUUUGAGGUGACAGCUCCUGGCUCAACUAGGAGAGCGCCGCAAAGACGGCCGAACUUGAGGGCCAGAGAGGGACAUGGAACUCCGGGUGGAGUGGUGAAAUGCGUAGAGAUCCGGAAGAACACCAAAGGCGAAGGCAGUGUCCUGGCUGGUACCUGACGCUCAGGUGCGAAAGCGAGGGGAGCGAACGGG